UGUAAAUUCUUCUACAUUUAAUAAGGUCUCACUACACAGAUCACUUCCGUGUGAGAGUUCAUUGAUCACGUCCACUAUAGUUCCUAAUUGUGGCACAUGUUAUGGUUCAUAUAUUCACUUCUAGGAAAUUGUGAAGAAUUAAAACAAAAUUACCGCUGAUGACAGUGUCUGGAUCAACAAGAGAGACAGGUGCGGUGCGUGUGCAGACGACAACGCGCUUGAACGAUUAUUGGACAUAAGCGCAAAAAUCAAGAAGACAUAAGAAAUACACAUUCAUGGUGAAUUAUAUUUUGGUAUUCUGAAAACUGUUUAAUGUAUGUCAACUAUGGACUCGAUGGCUGUAGGCUGUGCUCACGACAGAUGUCACCGGCUUGGCAGGAUAUGAUCACCUUUCACGAACACAUGACAUCAUCACUGUUUUUAACAGUGAUCCACGAGUUCCUGCUUCACUGAUUAAUAUAUUCCAUUAAGCUCU